AGGAGGAACAGCCCCAGUGGCGGGGCAGCUCUGGAGCCCUGGAGUCAGCCCCCAAGUAGCCCCGGAGGUCUCCGUCUGCAGGGCCUGGAGGCUCCGGGCGGGG
rnacentral:pre_miRNA from 1 species